GACAGAGGCCUCAAGCGUUAGGCGGAAUCACUGGGCUACAAGCGUGUGUAGGCGGACGCCUAAGUGUCUUGUGAAAUCCCACGGCUCACCCGUGGGAACUGCUGGGCAUACUGGGCGUCUUGGGCCAACUAGGGGCAGCCGGAACAAGCGGUGGAGCGGUGAAAUGCGUAGAUAUCGCUUGGAACGCCGAAGGUGAAAACAGGCUGCUGGGGUUGCGCCGGAC
rnacentral:rRNA from 1 species